rnacentral:rRNA from 1 species
UGGGGAAUCUUGCGCAAUGGGCGAAAGCCUGACGCAGCGACGCCGCGUGGGUGAUGAAGGCCUUCGGGUUGUAAAGCCCUGUGGAGAGGGACGAAUAAGUUCGACCUAAUACGUCGGGCGAUGACGGUACCUCUUUAGCAAGCACCGGCUAACUCUGUGCCAGCAGCCGCGGUAAGACAGAGGGUGCAAACGUUGUUCGGAAUUACUGGGCGUAAAGCGCGUGUAGGCGGUCGUGCAAGUCGGGUGUGAAAGCCCAGGGCUCAACCCUGGAAGUGCAUUCGAUACUGUAUGGCUAGAGUCCCGGAGAGGAUGGUGGAACUCUCGGUGUAGAGGUGAAAGUCGUAGAUAUCGAGAAGAACACCGGUGGCGAAGGCGGCCAUCUGGACGGUGACUGACGCUGAGACGCGAAAGCGUGGGGAGCAAACA